CCACACUGUCAACAGGCUGAGGGGAAAAGUGCCGGACUCCUUUCUGUGAAUUGAUUUGAUAUGACGUGUGAUCAGGUUCUUCCUGGCGGCCCUUUUGUUGCACCGGGCCUGAUUACGCCCGCUUUUGAGUGACCAGAGCACAUCCGACAAUCCACCCAACAUGCCUGCUGUGGAGGCCCCACCCAAACCGCCCCUUUCUGAUGACGAGGAGGUUCAGGAAGUGAAGGACCCCCUGCUCGACGAAGCUCAGUACGACUCCUUGGAGAAGGCCUUGAGUUGCUCCGGGAGAGUCUACUGAGCUCUGAUCGAACCAGCUGCAGGUGGAUGCUCGGUGCAUCCUCUCGCCUCAGCGUCGAAGCUGUGAUUCAACUUAUAUAAAACGAUAAUGUGACCAGCAAAUUAACUGCAUCACUCAAUUUUACAUUAACAGUAAUCUCUGUGUUAGUGGAGAGAUAACCUAAUGUAAAUAAAAGAUAGACGUGAUUAUAUCUGAUUUACGGGCGUGGAGAGAACACCCAAGGCCAGGCCAGGAUUUGAAGAUCUGGCGUUUCUCUUGAUUGUUGUCCUUUGAGAUGCAUCUCAGGCGUGUGCUCUGGGUUACAGAAAAUGUGAUAUGCAGACGAUGUGGCUCACUUGGAUAAAUUCUUACUUCUUGCAGACUCACUAGAUCUAUAUCUGGUCUUUUAAGUCGCCUAUAAACAUCUCAAUGCUUCAAAAUACAGCAUACUUCCAGGGAUGCACGAUAUAGAUCAGUCUGAACAAGUAUUAGCUGAUACUCUAAAUUUUUAAAUAUUUUAUAUUAUUCCAUAAUACGGUCUUACUGGACAAAAACAACCAAUAAGACAUUCUUUCAUUGACUUGUUAACACGCCUUCACACUCCGAUACAGUAGGUGGCGCUAUGUGAUCCACAGUUAGGUACAGAGAAGAAGAAGAAGUGGCGAAGUGGAUGUCUUUUUACUAUUUCAGAAGAGGAUGAAAUGAUUGAAAUGUGUAAGUUUUAACACAACACAUUUUUACGAUCACUUUAAAAGCCGUCAUCGCAACAGAAGUGAAGUAGCCGCAGCUAGCGUUAGCAUCAAUAAAAGGUUUAAAAGUGUCGUACUUUAGUAUGAAACAGACAUGAUGCAGCACUGGAGUUCUACCAGUUACGGCCUGAUCCGUCUCUGAUCCGUCACAGCACCAGAUCUGAUAGGUUUCUAUUCUAGUCCA